rnacentral:rRNA from 1 species
UACAGAGGUCCCAAGCGUUGUUCGGAUUCAUUGGGCGUAAAGGGUGCGUAGGUGGCGCCGUAAGUCAGGUGUGAAAUCUCGGGGCUUAACUCCGAAACUGCAUUUGAUACUGCGGUGCUUGAGGACUGGAGAGGAGACUGGAAUUUACGGUGUAGCAGUGAAAUGCGUAGCGAUCGUAAGGAAGACCAGUGGCGAAGGCGGGUCUCUGGACAGUUCCUGACGCUGAGGCACGAAGGCUAGGGGAGCAAACGGG